rnacentral:lncRNA from 1 species
AAAGUUUUUUUACAUUAAAGCUCAUAUCUAAUUGUAAUCACCCAUAACACAGGUAACCAAAGUUUCCAUAAAUUUUGAAAAAUCAGAUUAAAAAUCUUUAUAAUUUAAAAAAAAAUUAAGUUAGUGGGAUAAAAGUUUUCGUAUAUACAUUAAAGCCCAUGUCUAAUGUAACGACCACACGUAACCACCCAUAACACCCACCCAUAGCACACGUAACCCCAUAGCACAGACCCACUACUUCACUACAUGUUGGGUUUUUAUUGUUUAAUUUAUUUAUUCGCAGGAGAAUUAUAUUUCCUGGGUUGUUUUUUAGAUGAUCAAUUUCCUAUCCACUUUCCCACUACUUAGGUGGUUACCGUGUGUAAAACACAACCGAAACAUCGGUUUUUUCUAUAUAUAUUAUACAUAUUUCAUUCUCACACCCUAUAGCUCAUUCACUUUUUAAUCUGUAUAUUCUGAAACUUUUAUGGGAUUUCUACAAUGGCCCCCAAUAUCACGAACAUUGUUGACCUUAGUCCGACUACAAUGGCUUGGAGAUUUAUAGUACGAGUAAUGUUGUUGUGGUUUGUUCCACAUUAUGAAAACAAAGAUGUAAUUGUUAGACUUAAUAUGCUACUCAUGGAUUUCUAGGUGAUAUGCAAAACGUUGUUUUUAAUUUUAUUUAUUUAUUUUAAUUACGUCUACAAAAUAUUUGUAUAGUGUUGAUCUUCUUCUUCUAUCUCUUCUUCUACUUUUCCUUCUUCUUUUUCUUCAUUUUUCUCAGUCUCCUUCCUCCUCCUCCUCCUCCUCCAUCUUCUUCUUUUUUUUCUUCUUCUUCUUAGAAAGCAAUUGAUUACGUUGAAAAAAGUUGGUGAGUAAGAAGAAGACAAAGAAGAAAAAGGUGAAAAACUUCGGCAUUCACUCAGCCAUAGCAGAGCUAUGCAUACUUAGACAGUCGACAGUCAACAACUUUCAGUCUAAAGUGUCCAUGAACCCCUCCUAAAUUACUACUGAUCCAUUGCAAACAAACAAUAAUUCGCCAAAGGGAAAAACAUAUAUUCACAUACAACUAAGUAAUGUUAGAUCAAUCUUACAAAAUAAUUUUUUUUUUGCAAAACCCAACCGUAAUUGAAUACUAGAACCAAUGAAAAAAAUUGAAAAAUGGAAAAAAAAAAUGCAUACCAAUUUCGUCGCCGUUAAUAUCUGAAAAGCAAAUGUCAUCCAAGGUAAAUUGCCUAAAAGUUGUUUUCAAUCCACAUUUGAAAUUCGACAACAUUGAAAUGGUAAAACUUACGCAAACUAAUUUUACGUGACGAUACAAUAGAAGUUCCAUUCAUCGUGUGUUGAAGCAAGGAUAGAAGUUUAGAGAUAGUGGGAGGUUUUUCUUUUGUUUGUGUAUUAUUGACAGAUAGUGGGAAGUUACUCUUUUGUGUGUAGGUGUUAUGUUGUAAAUCAAAAAACUAUAGGAAAAAAAAAAAAUGCCAACAAAUGGAGAUUAAAUAAAAAACAAAAAAAAUGCAAGAAUAUUGCAUUUACUAAAAUACCCCUAGAUUUAGA